CUUUCAAGUAACUAAUUCACAUGUCAAGUAACUACACUAAACCAUUUUCAAGUCACUAGUAACCGUUUUCAAGUCACAAGUUUGCAAUUUCAAGUAACUACACUAAACCAUUUCUUCCAAGUCACUACACUUAAUAAUUUUUAAAUAACUUAUUCACAUUUCAAGUCACUACACUCUAACCAUUUUCAAAUAGCUAAUUGACAUUUCAAGUCACUAUACUUAACCAUUUUCAAGUAAAUACACUUAACUAAUUUCAAGUCAUGUACUAGCAUUUCAAGUCACUACACUUAA
rnacentral:lncRNA from 1 species